rnacentral:rRNA from 1 species
AUUGAACGCUGGCGGAAUGCUUUACACAUGCAAGUCGAGCGGCAGCGCGGCCUUCGGGCUGGCGGCGAGCGGCGAACGGGUGAGUAAUGCAUCGGAACAUGCCCAGUCGUGGGGGAUAACACUUCGAAAGAAGUGCUAAUACCGCAUACGUCCUGAGGGGGAAAGCGGGGGAUCGCAAGACCUCGCGCGAUUGGAGUGGCCGAUGUCAGAUUAGCUAGUUGGUGGGGUAAAGGCCUACCAAGGCGACGAUCUGUAGCCGGUCUGAGAGGAUGAUCAGCCACACUGGGACUGAGACACGGCCCAGACUCCUACGGGAGGCAGCAGUGGGGAAUUUUGGACAAUGGGGGCAACCCUGAUCCAGCCAUUCCGCGUGAGUGAAGAAGGCCUUCGGGUUGUAAAGCUCUUUCGGCAGGAACGAAACGGUGGGCUCUAACAUAGUCCGCUAAUGACGGUACCUGAAGAAGAAGCACCGGCUAACUACGUG